rnacentral:rRNA from 1 species
GUGGGGAAUAUUGGACAAUGGGCGAAAGCCUGAUCCAGCAAUGCCGCGUGAGUGAUGAAGGCCUUAGGGUUGUAAAGCUCUUUUACCAGGGAUGAUAAUGACAGUACCUGGAGAAUAAGCUCCGGCUAACUCCGUGCCAGCAGCCGCGGUAAUACGGAGGGAGCUAGCGUUGUUCGGAAUUACUGGGCGUAAAGCGCGCGUAGGCGGUUUAUCAAGUCAGGGGUGAAAUCCCGGGGCUCAACCCCGGAACUGCCCUUGAAACUGGUUCACUAGAAUCCUGGAGAGGCGAGUGGAAUUCCGAGUGUAGAGGUGAAAUUCGUAGAUAUUCGGAAGAACACCAGUGGCGAAGGCGACUCGCUGGACAGGUAUUGACGCUGAGGUGCGAAAGCGUGGGGAGCAAACAGGAUUAGAAACCCGAGUAGUCC